rnacentral:lncRNA from 1 species
AUGGUGAAACCUGAGCCGCUGAGGCAGAGCACGCGAAUUUUACCACUACGCCACAGGGCAGGCCCCACAACACAAUUAUUUUAUACUGCUUUUCCUGGAGCAUAUGUUGCCAGAAGGAUAUGGAAAUGCAAAGAAUGGGAACAGGAAAUAAGGGAAGGGAAGACAUGGAGGAGAGACACAAAACAAGUCCCAGGAUCUGCAAAGAAUAAACAAUCUGUUUGGAAUGAGGAGAUCCCCCAAGAUGUUCUUGCUCUAUGGAAGAGUGGUCUUCAGGAUGGAUGUGCAGAUCGGGCAGAAAGGAGCCCACUGCUUUACCCUGAAGGAGCUCAGGCUGAAUUCCCUGGAGGAUUGCUUAUUGCAGAGUCACUGAAGCAGCUGGUGGAAAAGUCCACGUUGAUCCCUUUGAGACCUGUGCCUUUGGAAAACACUCUAGGUUGUUCUGCAUUUUGGAGGAGCAAGUAA